ensembl:lncRNA
GCCAAUUCCCUGAGUUGCACGUUGUCAAUCAGGUGGCGAUCCAAAUGUUCGCCCACUUCUCCACUGUUUUCUUUCUCUCUGACUCCAUCAGAAGCACAUGACACAUCCGUGGAUCAUGGGAGAGAGAAGCAAGUUUGCUCUCCUUUAUCUCUCUGCUGGGGGAAAGAAAAAGACUCUCAGCUGUAUAAUCAUCUUCCUAUAAAAUAAAUUACUUUAUCUGUCUUAAUACUGUCACUCUUCAGUCCUCCAGUGAUCUACUUCUUCCAUCUGUGUGCAUAACUGAAAUCUUCUCUCCACCUACUCUAUGUACUUCCAAGUGUCAAAAUCCAGCCUCAAUCAUUGCUGUCAUCAGUCUCUCGUUCUUGAUGGGAUAGUGGAUGAAACAUCACUGUUCCUCAGACCUCUAUGGGUAAUUUCUGUGCUUGCUUUGCAGAGCUGAGGUAAGCUAUCAGAAAUGUGACCUAAAAGAGUUUUGUUUGGUUUGGUUUUUUGUCAGCUGAAGUUUUCCACUUUCUGCUCCUGAAGCAAGUGGGUAUUUUUGUUGCUUCCUGGGUCUUGUUUCCAUCAUGACUCUUGCUGCAUAAUUUAAGGAGAUAACCACAUUACCCAAAUCCUAUGAAAGUUGACAUACUGCUUCGUAUUGAGUAAUUCUGCAUGACUCACACUUUGUUCUCUGAUAUAAUUCUUACGCUCGUUUGCAGAAUAUUGUUGAGACAAUUGAGCUUGCUUACUGAAAUCACCAUCUUUUGUAGCGAGACAGUACAACCACUUUCCUCUUUCACAAAGCCAUUCCAAGAACAAUGGGCCGACCCAGAAAUAACAACCAUUUGUUUUGCUUAGAAUAUGGAUUCUGCUUUGCUAAAUGAAAUAACGGCAGGGAAAAGAAAGAAACCUUCUUAGAAGCCGUGCAUCUUCCCAGAUAAAUGUGGCAACGCGCCUCUCCUGCUGAGCCGUGACCUACUUUGCUCACAAAAUGCUCUCACUACCUUCCCCCAAACGCGAGGCUGUUGAAGCCCCAGGAAUUCUUCACCUUGGGUGCGAAACCGUGAAGCGUCAGUCACCACCGAAGGAUCCUCAGUGGUUUCCCUGUCUGGCGGCACUGCGCUGCUUAUCGCAUCCUCUGCAAAUGCCUCCCUUCUCAUCGCGUUGCUGUUGGGAUCAGUUUUUAUCUCUGCUCCAGUGUACACCGCGCGAGUUCAGAGCUGGGUGGAUUUUGCCAUCUUGUGAGAGGUUUUGGUACUUUUUUCUGGACUGGGUUUAUUUUUGGGUUAGCUUUAGAUAAAAAAUAUAUAUAUUUUUUAAUUCCUUCAUAUUUUUUAUGACUGAAAAGGAAUCCUUUUCCUCUAGCUAAUAUAUUAUGUGCAUCAGAACUUGGUAGUGUGCCUGUUCACAGAGAAACAGGAGUUGAGAUCGAGCAUCAACAGCUGUGGGAAUGACCUACACCAUAUGGGACAUAUGACAAUUACCCAGUCUGUGUUACAUAAGGAAUAAAAUCAAGUUGCUUUGCUAAAGUAUGGAAGGAGAGAGAACUAGAACAUGAUGACAAAUGACUGCUCCUGAUGAUAAAGCUACAACUGGGUACCUUUCAGGAUGACACACCUGCAUCAAACAACUCUUAAUGUCAUGCAAAAGGCUGGAUGUGAUCACCUGUGAUACUCAGGAGGCUGGAUCACAGCUCCUUCCCUCUGCCAGGGGAAGUCUUUGAACCAUCUCAUCUCAUCUUAUGUCUGGCAUUUGCUGAUAUUGUGUAAUGGGGAGCUUUAGUGCCUUCCAUGACAGCAGGGCCAGGAGGUGAUGCCUUGUGCUGCUCUGGGGCCCACAGGGCUCAGCAAGGAUCCUGGCACUGGGCUGCAGCACCGGCCCCAGAACUGCCACUGGAGUUCCCCAGCCACUGCUGAGUGACAAUGGAGUCAUUGGUUCAUUGGUUUCACAGAGGCUGCUGUAAGUACGGGGGAGCGAAUGAAACCCUCAUUCCUACAAUGUGUUUCAGACCUCCUUGUCUCUCCCCUAAAUUCUGAUGCCAUCUAGUCCGAGUGAAAUGAAUGGUGUCACAAAGCUUGGGCUUAGCUGAAAGAUGGAAAUAAUGCGUGUGCGUGCGUGUGUCUGAAAUGCCUCUCAAAACGCCACACAGCCACUUUUCUGGUGUGCAAUUUUCAUUCUAUUGAUAUAUAUAUAUUUUUUACAUACAGUCACGUAAUUGCAAACUGUACCCAUUUACACCUUCCAGAAGGCAGUAACUUCAGGAGUGAGCGCGGGGUUAUUUUUAGUAUGCAUUCAAGUUUAUUCACACUGAAAGGUAGUAGUUAUCUUUUGUAAUUUUAGAGUAGCUCUUUGAAUAAAAACAUGAGUGUAGCUCCGUGUUAACUGCCACGUGACACUUGGGAGCGGGCUAAAACCUCUCCUAGGAUGACAAAGUCUCUGCUUUUCUGCUUUGCAACACCCCAGAGGUGCACACGGUAGCGGUGCGUGUGUUGGGACCUGUGUCUAUCAGUGCACAGAACGUGAGUCACCUUGUGUGCGCUGCGAUGGAAGUACCGCUAGGCCAGAAGGAAGUACAGUUUCCAGUGUUGGUUUCUGUGUGCGAAUGCGUGCGUAGGAAAAGCUCAUUGAAAUUCAGCUAUGCUUUCUGAGUUCAAAUUCCAUGCUAAGCCGUCACCAGAGGGGUUAUUAGAUAGAAAUCUGUGGGUCUCCAGCUGAGUGUUCUCCCCAGAGCUGAGUAAACGCCUCUGUGCGCCAAAUAGCGGAACCUUUCCUUCAGUUCACAGACAACUGUGCAGAGGUUGCGAGUUUCUCAUGUUUUGGGGUCACUGUUCAGAUAAGUCCUACGUUAUUGUUUCUGUUUUCUGAUGGAAUAACUAAAAACGAGGAGCCUGCAGAAGGAGUGCACAAUUUUGGGGGAAGGAGCUCGGUUGUUUGUCCAAGAAGGCACGCAGGGAUUUGGCUGGGAUAGAAUAGCACAGAGGCACCAGCAAAAGGCAGUGCACAACUGUACAUUCUGAUAUCCCAGACAAUCUGGGCUGCUCCUAUCUCAGAGCUGAACUCAUAUCUCUGUGCAAUGCCAUCUUACAGAAGCAUUUUGCAGAAUAAUGGUUCUCGCUGUCUCCUUCACAAACAAAUGUAUCAUAAAAGCAUUUGUACUACCGAGUUCAUUGACAACGUUGUUCAAAGAGGUAUUUUGUGACAUAUUUGUUCUCCUAAUCUAUAUUUCUAUUCAGGGCAUUUUGAAAGUGUUUUCAGCUUAGGAGUCCUAAUGAACCAGCCCCGUGUCUGCUCAUGUUUCCUCAGUAAUAAACUCCUCAAACUCCCUAGCAAUGUUUGCCAGCUGGAACUGCACAGCUGCUGUGGAGCAGUGGAAGGCAGAGAUGGAGCAGCUCCUCACGACAUGCCCAAGUCACAGGAAGAGGAAAGUGAUGUGGUUUGUAUUGUAUUCCCACUGCAGCACUGAGAGGUGCAGAAGGCCCAUUUCCGUGACCAUGUGCUAUUUUCUUUGACUGGCAGCUGUGCAUAGUGGCAGGGAGGACGUUGGACCCCAGCAGUACCCAGCUCCAUCCCAGUGCUGCCUUCCUCCUGCACAGCUCAACGCUCGCAUUUUGGUCUCCGCUACUCCAACUCCAUAGAGGUGAUGGGUUGAGCAGUUUCCUAACGUGCAAAUGUCAGAACCUGUGAGUGGUUACACUUCUGCAGGCGUUUGCCUUGAGAAUUCAGUUCCUCAAUCUAUUUGCCUGGAGAUAAUCUGCUUUUUUGGCUGUUUUUUUUUUUUUUUCUUUUAGCUUUGGCACUGGAGUAUACAAACACUCCUUGUUCUGUUUCAGUGGUUGUUGUGAAUAGAAGAACUUCAGAUCAACCUUGCUUACUGUCCUCAGCUCUUACACCCCAGAAAUACCUAAAGGUGGUUGCUGCCUCCAGGCCCACAGAACCUUUCCCAGGCUGUUAAAUCUCUAUUACUUUCUUUCCCCAUAAGCAAGAGAUCUGCAGUGAAGGCUGCCAGCAAUGUAGCUAGACAAGGACAUCAUCAUCUUGCUAAUCUGCUCAUUCAGCUGGAAGAGGAGAACUCACCGAGUGAUGCCCGAUCCAGCUACGAUCCUCACCGAGCUGAUAAUCCUACCAGAAGCACAGAUUUCACCCUGAUGGCUCCCAGCUCCAAAAUGUCACCAGAGAUAGAAGCGCUGAAGAUCUGUGUGGAUGUCUCCUGAUAACGGCAGGAACUUGCAUUAACAACCGCUCAGCUGCAGUCCUGGAAGCUAGAAGGACAUAAAGGUGCAGUGGGAAUUGCGGAGGAGUCAUUUCUGAAUGAAGACAUUUCCGUCCAACAUUUUGGCUUGCUUGAAGUGCAUUGAGUGGAGAGGAAUUGUCCUUGGCCACCUAUAAAAUACAUAAUCGGUUAAUGUAUUGUCAGAGAGCCAAGGCUGGAUGUGUUCCUCCUGACACUGCCCUGCAGGGGACAGCGGGAAGUGCCAGAGCAGUGCUGUCACCUGUCCUGUGUCUGCGGUGACAGCGGUAAAUCUCCCAUGGAGAACUCCUCCUGGGGCAGGACCAGGGCAGCCAUUCAGCACUGCUGUCUUUCUGUCGCUCCUUGCCUUUGCAGAGGCGAAUGAGGACUUGAUUCCAAACCAGUCUGCUGGCAUAUUGCGAGCCGUUCGUUCCUUGAGCCUGUCCCAGCAGGCACCACACAGCCUGGGCUGUCUGCUGGCUGCUCUUUGGCUCAUGGGAGACCUCACAGCAUGAAAGAAAGGCAGGAGUAUCUUUCUUAUGCACGCUGCUCAUGGUGUUGUCCACAACUGACCACAAAUCUAUGGAGAAAGGCAAUAGUUAUGCUAGCACAGAUGAAAGUUCUUUUCUUGGGACAUGCAGAAACUCUUUCUUGUAGCAUUGCAGCAGCCUAGCUACACCGUUACUUCUCUCAUUCCUGUGUACUUGUAAUCUAUGUAAUGAUUUUAUUGUUUCCAUAUUAAUGUGGUUUAUUUUUACUGUAGCACUCUAUCUACUUGUGCUACUGUUAAACAAAUCCUUCUGAUGCUGGACCAGAGAAGAAACCCCUGAGACAUAAUACAAAGGUCUUCCAGGAGGGGACUCUCUGCUGAGGCUGCAAGACUUCCAUCCUGCCUCCUCUGGGUUGAUCACACCAGCACCGGAGAAAUGCAAAUACCAACAAGAAACAAGUGAAAAACUCAUUCUGCUGUGGCUACAGGGUGUAUUCCUGCCUCCCCAGAGGCUGACUGGGACAUCUUCAUCCAAAGGAAAACGUAUUUACAUGGAAGAUGGAAGUCAAGUGAUGUUUUCCAGCCACUUCAGGUACUGAGCUGCUGGUGCGCGGUUUCAGAAGUUGCCUUUGAGGGUUUUGGACCCUGUCCUCCUUCUCCUCCUGCCACUGCCAGGUGGUGAGGCACUGGCACAGACUAACCAGAGAAGUGGUACUUGCCCCAUCCCUGGACUCACUCAUGGUCAGCCUGGAUAUCCUGGACACCUGAUGGAGCCGUGGGUGCCC